rnacentral:rRNA from 1 species
AUUGAACGCUGGCGGCAUGCCUUACACAUGCAAGUCGAACGCGAAAGCGGGGCAACCCGCAAGUAGAGUGGCGAACGGGUGAGUAAUACAUCGGAACGUGUCCAGUAGCGGGGGAUAACCUCUCGAAAGAGAGGCUAAUACCGCAUACGCCCUGAGGGGGAAAGCGGGGGUCGCAAGACCUCGCACUAUUGGAGCGGCCGAUGUCGGAUUAGCUAGUUGGCGGGGUAACGGCCCACCAAGGCGACGAUCCGUAGCUGGUCUGAGAGGACGACCAGCCACACUGGAACUGAGACACGGUCCAGACUCCUACGGGAGGCAGCAGUGGGGAAUUUUGGACAAUGGGGGCAACCCUGAUCCAGCCAUGCCGCGUGGGUGAAGAAGGCCUUCGGGUUGUAAAGCCCUUUCGGCGGAGACGAAACGGUCCGUGCCAACACCACGGACAACUGACGGCACCCGCAGAAGAAGCACCGGCUAACUACGUGCCAGCAGCCGCCGUAAUAC